rnacentral:rRNA from 1 species
CCUACGGGAGGCAGUAGUGGGGAAUUUUGCGCAAUGCUCGUAAGAGUGACGCAGCGACGCCGCGUGAAUGACGAAGGCCUUCUGGUCGUAAAGUUCUUUCGACAGGGAAGAAAAUGCCUAUAAGUAACUGUGUCUGUAUUGACGGUACCUGUAUAAGCAGCCCCGGCUAACUCCGUGCCAGCAGCCGCGGUAAUACGGAGGGGGCGAGCGUUGUUCGGAGUGACUGGGCGUAAAGAGCACGUAGGCGGUGUUGUAAGUCAUUAGUCAAAGACUAGAGCUCAACUUUAGUAAGGCUAGUGAUACUGUAAUACUAGAGUAUCAGAGAGGAAUGCAGAAUGCAUGGUGUAGCGGUGAAAUGCGUAGAGAUCAGGAGGAAUACCGAUAGCGAAGGCGGCAAACUGGCUGGAAACUGACGCUGAGGUGCGAAAGCGUGGGUAGCAAACAGGAUUAGAUACCCUAGUAGUC